UACGUAGGUGGCAAGCGUUGUCCGGAAUUAUUGGGCGUAAAGCGCGCGCAGGCGGUUCUUUAAGUCUGAUGUGAAAUCUUGCGGCUCAACCGCAAGCGGUCAUUGGAAACUGGGGGACUUGAGUGCAGAAGAGGAAAGCGGAAUUCCACGUGUAGCGGUGAAAUGCGUAGAGAUGUGGAGGAACACCAGUGGCGAAGGCGGCUUUCUGGUCUGUAACUGACGCUGAGGCGCGAAAGCGUGGGGAGCAAACAGG
rnacentral:rRNA from 1 species